rnacentral:rRNA from 1 species
AGAGUUUGAUCAUGGCUCAGGACGAACGCUGGCGGCGUGCCUAACACAUGCAAGUCGAACGGAGAUGUUAAGGAAGUUUUACUGAAUUAAUGUCUUAGUGGCGGACGGGUGAGUAACGCGUGGGUGACCUACCCAUAAGAGGGGGAUAACAGUUGGAAACGACUGCUAAUACCGCAUAAGCUGAGUAAUCAGUAAAGGAGGCCUCUGAAAAUGCUUCCGCUUAUGGAUGGACCCGCGUCUGAUUAGCUGGUUGGUGGGGUAAAGGCCUACCAAGGCGACGAUCAGUAGCCGGCCUGAGAGGGUGAACGGCCACACUGGGACUGAGACACGGCCCAGACUCCUACGGGAGGCAGCAGUGGGGAAUAUUGCGCAAUGGGGGAAACCCUGACGCAGCGACGCCGCGUGAGCGAAGAAGGCCUUAGGGUCGUAAAGCUCUGUUUUAAGGGACGAAUGUCGCGGGUAAUAAUACGAUCUGCGAAUGACGGUACCUUAAGAGGAAGCCCCGGCUAACUACGUGCCAGCAGCCGCGGUAAGACGUAGGGGGCGAGCGUUGUCCGGAAUUACUGGGCGUAAAGAGCACGUAGGCGGGAUUUUAAGUCAGGUGUGAAAGACCGUGGCUCAACCACGGGGUUGCACUUGAAACUGGGAUUCUUGAGGGCAGGAGAGGAAAGUGGAAUUCCUGGUGUAGCGGUGAAAUGCGUAGAAAUCAGGAGGAACACCGGUGGCGAAGGCGACUUUCUGGACUGACCCUGACGCUGAGUGCGAAAGCGUGGGUAGCAAACAGGAUUAGAUACCCUGCUAGUCCACGCUGUAAACGAUGGAUACUAGGUGUGGGAGGUAU